GCCUACAAGUCCUUUACUGACGCUAAAGCUCGAAGGUGCGGGUAUCGAACAGGAUUAGAUACCCUGGUAGUCCGCACGGUAAACGAUGGAUGCCCGCUGUUUGCGAUAUAGUGUGAGCGGCCAAGCGAAAGCGUUAAGCAUCCCACCUGGGGAGUACGCCGGCAACGGUGAAACUCAAAGGAAUUGACGGGGGCCCGCACAAGCGGAGGAACAUGUGGUUUAAUUCGAUGAUACGCGAGGAACCUUACCCGGGCUUGAACUGCAGCAGAACGAUUGAGAGAUCAUGAGGUCCUUCGGGACUGCUGUGGAGGUGCUGCAUGGUUGUCGUCAGCUCGUGCCGUGAGGUGUCGGCUUAAGUGCCAUAACGAGCGCAACCCCUCUCUUCAGUUGCCAUCAGGUAGGGCUGGGCACUCUGGAGACACUGCCACCGUAAGGUGUGAGGAAGGUGGGGAUGACGUCAAAUCAGCACGGCCCUUACGUCCGGGGCUACACACGUGUUACAAUGGGUGGUACAGAGCGUCGGCGGCCUGCAAAGUCCGUCCAAUCGCAAAAUCCAUCCUCAGUUCGGACUGGGGUCUGCAACCCGACCCCACGAAGCUGG
rnacentral:rRNA from 1 species